AUCUGGAUAGCUCAGUUGGUUAGAGAUUGGCACUGAUGAUGUCACGGUUGCAGGUUUGAUCCCUGUUAUAGGACA